rnacentral:SRP_RNA from 1 species
ACUGAGUGGUCCACGCCUCUAAUUCCUUGCUACUAGGGAGUCACCCAGAGCUAGCAGACUGUUUGAACUUGGGAAUUCUGUGCUGAAGUUUAUCGGGAGUCCACACUAAGUCUGGCACCAGUAUGGUAAGCCCCUGAGAACAGAGCAGAUGAUUACCAGGCUGCCCAAGGAGGAAGGAACCAGCCCAGGUAAGAAACAGAGCAGGUCAAAAUUCCCAUGUCAAACAGCAGUGAGAUCAGCCCUGGAAUGAGUGCUGUACUUCCAGCCUGGACAAGACAGAGAGAUCCAGCCUCC